GACGAACGCUGGCGGCGUGCUUAACACAUGCAAGUCGAACGGCAAGGCCCUGCUUUUGUGGGGUUCUCGAGUGGCGAACGGGUGAGUAACACGUGAGUAACCUGCCCUUGACUUUGGGAUAACUUCAGGAAACUGGGGCUAAUACCGGAUAGGAGCUCCUGCUGCAUGGUGGGGGUUGGAAAGUUUCGGCGUGUGGGGUUGGACUCGCGGCUUAUCAGCUUGUUGGUGGGUAGUGGCUUACCAAGGCUUUGACGGGUAGCCGGCCUGAGAGGGUGACCGGCCACAUUGGGACUGAGAUACGGACCAGACUCCUACGGGAGGCAGCAGUGGGGAAUAUUGCACAAUGGGCGGAAGCCUGAUGCAGCAACGCCGCGUGCGGGAUGACGGCCUUCGGGUUGUAAACCGCUUUCGCCUGUGACGAAGCGUGAGUGACGGUAAUGGGUAAAGAAGCACCGGCUAACUACGUG
rnacentral:rRNA from 1 species